rnacentral:lncRNA from 1 species
AGGGAAUAGUAUCCACAAAAGGUGAUAUAUAUAGUUAUGGGAUCCUGUUGAUGGAAACUUUUGUGAGGAAGAAGCCUACAGAUGAAAUGUUCGUGGAGGAACUAACCUUGAAGAGUUGGGUGGAGUCAUCAACCAACAACAUAAUGGAGGUUAUAGAUGCCAAUCUCCUGACAGAAGAGGAUGAAAGUUUUGCCUUAAAACGAGCUUGUUUUUCUUCUAUCAUGACAUUAGCUCUGGAUUGUACGGUUGAGCCUCCUGAGAAGAGGAUUAACACGAAAGAUGUGGUGGUUAGACUCAAAAAGCUUCUGAAUCAAAUUGAUGUUUUAAGAACUCCAUAAUUAAGAAGAAGGCAUGGAGAUCACAUCACUUUCUUCCACCCUGAGCUUGUUUAAGAGUUUACAAAUCAUGAACUAAGGGACCAUUGGGCAUGGUCUGCUAGGUAUUGAAAGUUCCUUAUUAUAUCACCUUUAUACAAAUCAUUUUGUAUGCUUUUAUUUAAUUUUUUUCCAUUGGGAUAAUAUUAAGUGAAGAUACUUAAUGAAUGACUUCCAGAAGAACAUUUCGUACUUCUCUUUUUAAGAUACGGUAGAUUCUACUACAAUAAAUUAUUUGGCUAUGAUUGAUCAUUUCAGCAAAUUGUCUUGUCAAAAUCGACCUCUAUUUGUAGAUAUAUUUUACUUAAUUUGUUAUAACUUGCAAUUACUUAAUUUCUAGAUUGGUCUCACUGGUGUAACGGCUGCUGCUUGCUGCUGUACUUCAGAAGUUGUUGCACUUCCAAAGUGAGGUAGUUUGUUAGAUUUUGCACCAGGCUUGACCCGAGGUUAGCUCUUUUGUCCUUUUGGAAAACUGCACCGCAGCUGUCCCUUCCUGACCGGCUCAACCCCCUUCUCCAAAAGAGGUUGAGGGUGUCUUGUCCCUUUCGGGAUCACCACACAGGGUUUACCCACCAAUUACUUUGUUCUUUCUUCAUUCUUCCUACAUUUCUCCAAUUCCGUUAUGACAUGCAGAUGCUUGUUGCAUUGUUUUGAGUGUGUCCAGCUGGAGACAGUUGCAGCAGCUCCGGUCAUAAUUCAUGCUUUCAGUGAUGUGUAGGAAAUAUCAAACUUCAUGUUUGGUCAUGCAGAAAAUGACAGCUGAAUUAUAAUUUUUAUGGGAGUUAGAAAAGUCUUGCUUCUUUGAUGAUUAUCCAAAGAUUCAAUCAUGAAAUGCAGAAAAUGUAAAUCUUCAUGUAUAUAGGUUUGGAACUUAUUUCUUUAGAAAAUAUAUGAAUCUUCAACAAUCCCUAAUUUCACACCCAUAUCAAUGAUGUGCAUGCCCCAUUCAUAUGUAUUACAACCAUCCGCAAUAUAUAUCACAUUCAAACAAAAAUAUUCUUAUAGAAUUGAUAUUGACUCUAAAUAUUUGAUCAAAUAUUCCACUACUUAGAUCAAAACUCAAUGGCAAAAACAAUGAAGGAUAGAAAUUAAAAAAUAAAAAAUAAAAUUAUUUUUAUAUAAAAUGAAAUAAAAAUACCUUUGAAGCUCUUCAUGUAAUGGGUUUGGAGUUAUUUAUUAGUUCUUCAUCGAUUGAUUUCUUCCAUGUUGUCUAGAAUAUGUACUAGAGAUAGCUCAAAACACCCAUAAUCAUAUACAAAGAAAGAGGAGCGAUAUAGCAUCUUUUAGCAAAUUUUUGCUUGCAAAAUGGGGAUUGGUAGUUGAAAAUUUUAUUAUUAUUGAUCUACCAUUUCCAAGCAAAAUCAUCAAAACCUUCGAAAUGUGAUUAUUUUUUCAUUAAAGGGUUGUCAAAUUUCUUGUUAAUAAAGUUUCACAAAAGAUAAGAAAAUAAAAUUAUAAGGUAUAAUAUAUGUACUUUUUAAUAAUAAUAAUAAUAAUAAUAAUAAUAAUAAUAAUAAUAAUAAUAAUAAUAAUAUUUGUAUUUUGUCUAUCGUUAUAUAUAUAUAUUAGAUGUUCUUUAAGUAUAGGAAUAUUCUUAUUGCUUUUAUAAUAAUAUAUAAGAACAUUAGAAAAAAAAUAGUUAAUGAUGUAUUUUUUGACAAAUGUAAUAAUCAUAAUUUCAUAUUUGAAACUACCAACAACAUAAUGAGAUUCAACAUCUAUAAAAUUUAUAGGAUUUAUGUUAGGAUUUAUAACAUAAUCUAAUUAUAUUUAUAUGUUAGCAUGAGCAAAUUACAAAUAAAUUAUUUAGUUGAGUAAAUUACAAUAGAUAUGAUAUUUUAUAUCAAAAGAUAAUUUUUACUAAUGAAUACAUUAACUAUAUAAUAUUGGAAAAGAACAUUGAAAUUUUUUAAUAGAAUGAGUGUAGGGUUAAAUUAAAUUCAAUACAUUGAACUAUCAUACCAAAUGCUUUUCACUUUGAUUGAUUUAGCAAUUAUUAUAAAGCUUAUAAUUUUUAGAAAAUAAGAAAAUAAAUUUUAAAAAUCAUUCACAAAAGGUAGAUAGCUCUAUUUGCAAGUGGGGUUUUGUCUACCGUGGCAUGUGGACUACGGCACCGUGAUAGCCCACUCUUCACUGCACCAGGCUUGACUCGAGGCUAGCUCUUUUGUCCCUUUUGGAAAGCUGCGCCGUAGCUGCCGCCCCUUCUUGGCCGGCUUAACCCACUUCUCCAGAAGCGGUUGAGGGUGUUCUUGUCACUUUAGGGACCACCACACAGGGGUUACCCAGCAAUUACUUUGUUCUUUCUUCAUUCUUCCUACAUUGCUCCAAUUGCAUUAUGACAUAUGCAAAUGCUGUAGAAUUGUUGAAUAUGGUUGUAAUUCAUAUUUAUUACAACCAUGGUUAUAUAUAUCACAUUCAAAACACCCUCAAUCAUAUACAAAGAAAGAGAAGCGAUAUGGCAUCUUUUAGCAAAUUUUUGCUUGCAAAAUGGGGAUUGGUAGUUGAAAAUUUUAUUAUUAUUGAUUUACCAUUUCCAAGUAAAAUCAUCAAAACCUUCUAAAUGUGAUUAUUAUUUCAUUAGAGGGUUGUCAAAUUUCUUGUUAAUAAAGUUUCACAAAAGAUACGAAAAUAAAAUUAUAAGGCAUAAUAUAUGUACUUUUUAAUAUUAUUAUUAUUAUUAUUAUUUGUAUUUUGUCUAUCAUUAUCUAUAUAUAUAUAUUGAUAAUUUAUUUAAAGUUAUAAAUUUGUUAAUAUUAUUACAUAGUUAUGGAUUUCUUUAAUAUAAUAUGCUAGAUGUUCUUUUGAGUAAAGGAAUAUUGUUACUGCUUUUAUAAUCAUAAUUUCAUAUUUGAAACUACCAACAACAUAAUGAGAUUUGACAUCUAUAAAAUUUAUAGGAUUUAUAACAUAAUCUAAUUAGAUUUAUAUGUUUAAUUUACAUGAGCAAAUUACAAAUAAAUUAUUUAGUUGAGUAAAUUACAAUAGAUAUGAUAUUUUAUAUCAAAAGAUAAUUUUUACCGAUGAAUACUUUAACUAUAUAAUAUUGGAAAAGAACAUUGAAAAUUAUUAAUAGACUGAGUGUAGGGUUAAUUUUGUAAAAUAAAUUAUUUUUAGUCUUUAAUGACUUUCAUUAUCAAAGAGUUAAAUUAAAUUCAAUACAUUGAACUAUCAUACCAAAUGCUUUUCACUUUGAUUGGUUUAGCAAUUAUUAUAAAGCUUAUAAUUUUUAGAAAAUAAGAAAAUAAAUUUUAAAAAUCAUUCACAAAAGGUAGACAGCUCUAUUUGCAAGUGGAGUUUUGUCUAGGGUAGCUCUUUUGUCCCUUUUGGAAAACUGCACCGUAGCUGUUGCCCCUUCUUGUGUUAAGGGUGUUCUUGUCACUUUAGGGACCACCACACAGGGGUUACCCAACAAUUACUUUAAUAUGUCUAACGAGAGACAGUUGCUGCAGCUCUAGUCAUAGUCCAUGCAUUCCAUGAGGUGUAGGAAAUACCAAACUUUGUGUUUGGUCAUGUAGAAAAUGACUGGAUUUAUAAUUUUUAUGGGAGUUGGAAAAGUCUUGUUUCUUUGAUGAUUAUCCAAUGAUUCAAUCAGGACAAGCAGAAAAUGUAAAUCUUCAUGUAUAUAGGUUUGGAAGUUAUUUCUUCAGAAAAUAUAAAUAUUCAUGUAUAUAUGAAUCUCCAACAAGCUCUAAUUUCACCCCUAUAAAUUCGAUAUUUCACUCCCAUAAUUUGUGUCAUGCUCCCAUAUUAUAUUACUCUUCUCCAAUAAUCACUUAUUCUGCUUUAUUAAUUCCACUCCAAUAUCUCUUAAUUUCACUUUCAAGGACAAAGUUAUAAAUCUUCUAUUCUAUUAAUUUAUAUCAUGAUCUAAUUGCUUCGUGUCCUUAGUCACAUUGCUUUGUACCCUUGAUCACAUUGCUUUGUAGUGAGGUUUCAUUUCUUCAUGUUUUUGUCCCAGAUGGUUGAUCAUACCGUAGUUCCUUUUGCUUUGCAUCCCCAUUGUUGGUACAAAUCAAAUAAAUAAGCUAUACUCAACUGUCAAUGGUGUGCACCCAAUUCAUUUGUAUUACAACCAUAUGCUAUAUAUCACAUUCAAAUGGAAGUAUUCUUAUAGAAUUGAUAUUGGUGUUAAACACUUGACCAAAUGUUUCAUUAUUUAGACCAAAGCUCAAUAGCAAAAACAAUGAAGGAUAAAUUAUUAGAUAAGGUAGACUUUAGGAUUUUAAUUGAGCUAAAAUAUUUUUAUUAGAUUAUUAAAAACCGGAUACAUGCUCAAACCUAGAUGUUAAAAUAAUUUAUUAAAUUAUUAAACAGAUUAAAUAGAUUGAAUUAUCCAAAAAAGAAAGAGUAGCAUCGGAAAGUGUGACUACCAAGUCAAUAACCAAUGGUUAUCAUUCUGGAUGGGACUGCAUUGAAGCCCUUUUUCACCUCCUAGGACAUCUUUUUCCAGAAAAAGUUGUUGCUCACGAAUUACUUGAUAGACGUUAAGAUCAGUCACAGCUUCUCACUGGUCUCACUGGUGUAACGGCUGCUGCUUGCUGCUGUACUUCAGAAGUUGUUGCACUUCUUUGUUAGACUUUGUUAGAUUAGUUAGGCUGUUACACAAUGGAAAAUUCUGCGGUACGGAAGUGGGUACGGUACCUGCAAAAUUCCCUUUGCACCACUUGAUUAGCUGAACUGCCCCAUCGUAUUGCCUCUUCUUGAAUACGCUUUGCUUGAUCAACUUUUCAGGUUUCUUUCUCCGUUUUGGUAGGACUGCACUGUCGUUGCCCCUGCUUGCCCUCCGUGACCCACUUUUUUCCAAGGAGGUGGUUUUCGACCAUUUUCUUUCUUCUUGAAUACACCAUUAGAUCUUUUGUCUUGACCCGAGGUUAGCUCUUUUGUCUUUUUGGAAAAAACUGCACCGCAGCUGUCCCUUCUUGACCGGCUCAACCCACUUGUCCAAAAGAUGUUGAGGGUGUCUUGUCCCUUCAGGGAUCACCACACAGGUUUUACCCGGCAAUUACUCUGUUCUUUCUUCAUUCUUCCUAUAUUUCUCAAAUAGCAUUAUGACAUGCAAAUGCUUGUUGAAUUGUUUUGAGUAUGUCCAACUAGAGACAGCUGCAGCAGCUCUGGUUAUAAUCCAUGCUUGCCUUGGAAGGUGAUUGAGUUGCAAUUUCAAGGUAGUAGGUAUUGACCACCAAAAACGGUUUGAAAUUUUGUUAUCAAAGGCUUGCCUUGGAAGGUGAUUGAGUUGCAAUUUCAAAGCCAACCUGAAAACCCCAUAAUUUCAAGGUAGUAGGUAUUGAUCACUUCUUGUCACUCACUUGGCAAAUAUUAAUUUCCAUGUAAACUCUCCAGUUCCUACCAUGCUUGGUAGAACAAAUCAAAAUAUUUCUGUCCAUAAUUUCAAGGUAGCAGGUAUUGACCACAAAAAACGGUUUGAAAUUUUGUUAUCACAAGGUUUUCCUUGGAAGGUGAUUGAGUUGCAAUUUCAAAGCUAACCUGAAAACCCCAUAAUUUCAAGAUAGUAGGUAUUGACCACUUCUUGUCAUUCACUUAGAAAAUAUUAAUUUCCAUGUAAACUCUCCAGUUCCUACCAGGCCUGGUAGAACAAAUCAAAAUAUUUCUGUCAUAAGUAUUUCAUUUUACGAAUAAAAAUGAUUAACAUGUUUUGAAAAAUCUUCAAGUCUUUCGCCAACGCUCUCUUUUAGAAUUAAUGUUAUGCUUUAAAUUUGGUUACAUUUCUUUAAACAGUACGGAUUUUCUCUCUUACAUUAAUUAGAAAAAGUAUGAUUUUUCUUUGUAAAUUAGCAUUACAGUGUAGUGCCACUUUAACGUGAUAUAGAUACGAAAAAUGAUAAAUCAUUUAUUUGAAUUUUCUUUAACGUGAUAUAGAUACACAAUAGACUGUCGUUGCCCCUGCUUGCCCUCCGUGACCCACUUUUUUCCAAGGAGGUGGUUUUCGACCAUUUUCUUUCUUCUUGAAUACACCAUUAGAUCGUGAUAUGUGGACAGCUCUAUAUGCAAAUUGAGUUUUGUCUCCUGUGGAAUGUGGAAUGUGGACUACAGCACCGUGAUAACCCACUCUUCACUGCACCAGGCUUGACCCGAGGUUAGCUCUUUUGUCUUUUUGGAAAAAACUGCACCGCAGCUGUCCCUUCUUGACCGGCUCAACCCACUUGUCCAAAAGAUGUUGAGGGUGUCUUGUCCCUUCAGGGAUCACCACACAGGUUUUACCCGGCAAUUACUUUGUUCUUUCUUCAUUCUUCCUAUAUUUCUCAAAUAGCAUUAUGACAUGCAAAUGCUUGUUGAAUUGUUUUGAGUAUGUCCAACUAGAGACAGUUGCGGCAGCUCUGGUUAUAAUCCAUGCUUUCAAUGAUGUGUAAGAAAUAUCUAACUUUAUGUUUGGUCAUGCAGAAAAUGACACUUGAAUUAUAAUUUUUAUGGGAGUUUGAAAAGUCUUGCUUCUUUGAUGGUUAUCCGAAGAUUCAAUCAUGAAAUGCAGAAAAUGUAAAUCUUUAUGUAUAUAUGAAUCUCCAACAAUCCCUAAUUUGGCACCCAUGUCAAUGGUGUGUGUACCCCAUUCAUAUGUAUUACGACCAUCUGCUAUAUAUAUAUCACAUUCAAAUGGCAAAAACAAUGAAGGAUAGAAAUUAAAAAAUAAAAUAAAAUUAUUUUAUAUAAAAUGAAAUAAAAUACCUUUGAAGCUCUUCAUGUAUAUAGGUUUGGAGUUAUUUAUUGCUUCUUCAUGGACUGGAUUUCUUCUAUAUUGUCUAGAAUAUAUACUAGAGACAACUCAAAACACCCACAAUCAUAUACAAAGAAAGAGUAGAGAUAUGGCAUCUUUUAGCAAAUUUUUGCUUACAAAAUUUUGAAAAAAAAAAAAAACAAACAUGCUUAUUUUUUGUUUUAUUUUUAAGAUUCAACAGACUUGAUUUUCAAAGCAUAUAAUAAAUUUGUUUUUGAGAAAAUAAAUGUCCUUACCCUAUUAAUUAUUUCAAAAGACAUUUUCUAAAAGUAUAAUGUUUUCGAAAAUUUUCAAGUUUUUCAUGAAUUUUUUUUUUCAUGAGUAAUGUUACAUUUUGGAUUUGGCUAGUUAAAUACAUACUAUCACUAUUUCUCUCUUUCUAAAUUAAUUGAAAAAAGUGGACUAGAAAAAGCACCAUUUUCCUUUCUAAUUAGCAUGCACGACCAAUAGUAUAGUCACUCCAUUCAUCUAUCUACCUACCUAUCUUUAUAUAAUGUCAUGUUAUACAAUGAACUUGUAAAAUGAGUGGAGAAGAUCUCCAGAAUGUAAUUAAGAUGGCAAAUUCCAAGCAUAAGAUUAAUGGAUUUAUUUUGAAUGCAAUCAUGGUUGAGUUGUAAUUAUAUCAAAAUUGUUAAAUAAAUUUAUUAAAUUAACUAUUAAAUAGGUUACAAUCUUCUAAAAAAGGAUAGAGUAGCAUAGGAAGUGAGACUACCAAGUCAAUAACCAAUGCUUUUGGACCCACUUAUAUAGUUCCAUGGUUGUCACUUUGGAUGGGACUGCAUUGAAGCCUUUGUUCACCUCUUUCACAGUUUCUUCCAAGAAGGUUGUUGCCCACCAAUUACUCUCCCUUCCUUAUCCCCUACAUUUGUAAACCACAUCCUCUCCUUCAACCUUUAUCAACAACCUUUUUUUCUUGCUCUCUCAAAGGAAAGAUGCAUCUCUUUUCACCUUAUGUUUUAGUGUUUGUUUUAGUGCAUUGUUGGGUGGCUUACUUCACUCCCAAAGUAUUCUCCAUCAAUUUAGUUGAUGAAUUUGCUCUUAUGGCCUUGAAAGCCCAUAUCACAUAUGAUUCCCAAGGCAUUUUGGUAACAAAUUGGUCAACCAAAAGCUCCUACUGCACUUGGUAUGGUAUUUCUUGCAAUGCUCCUCAGCAAAGAGUUUCUGCAAUCAACCUCUCUAACAUGGGUCUUGAAGGAACUAUUGCGCCACAAGUCGGCAACCUCUCAUUUCUUAUUUCUCUUGAUCUUAGCAAUAACUACUUCCAUGCCUUUCUUCCUAAGGAAAUUGGUAAGAUUCUUAUAAUUUUUGUCUACUUUAUAGGUUAUCAUAAUUUUUGGCUUUCAAUCGUAAUGAAAUAGUUGAGUAAUUGAUAAAUUAUAGUUCCAAAAAUAAUAUUGAUAUAUUUGGUAGAUUGGAUUGUUGAAUUAUUAUGACCAUGAAUAAUAACUAAAAUAGGAAUGAUACAACUUUAACUUAUUCUCUUUAUUUUGAUAUAAAAUUCAUUUUAAUUAAAUAAAUCAUUUUACAAUUUAAAAAUUAGUUUUAUUUUUUUAAUUCCCUAUUUUUUUUUUCUUUUUUUGAAUGAAUUCAAGUAAACACAAUUAUAGUAAUGGUAAUGAUUUUUUAUUCUAAUUUUUAGAAUGAACAAUACCAAAUACAAAUCAGAAUAAACAUACACAACGGUAAUAAAAAGUUUCAAUUGACAGAGUAUUUUUCUUUUUAAGUUAUAACAUUAAAUAAUUUAUUUAUAGUGAUAUCUUACAAUUGAUAGAUAAUUUCAAAUAUAGAAAAUUUUGAUCCAACAAAUUAUAUUAUAAAAAAGUCAACAUAAUUUAAUGUAAUAUAUUAUACAUUAAAAUGUAAUAAAAUAUUUAAUAGAUAUCAAAUAAUUUCAUCUAUACACACACAUACACACACACACACAUAUAUAUAUAUAUAUAUAUAUAUAAUAUUUAUUUGUGAUAAACAAUAGUGGAUAAUUUUUUUGUUAACAUUCCCAAUAAAAAAAAAAUAUCAAUUAUUUAUUAUAUUCUAUCUAAUACUCAACAUUUGUGUUAAGUGUAUAGUUAAUUUCACAAAUUAUUAUUAUAAAUUAAGAAACAUCAUUGUACACACAAUUCAAACCAUCGUAUAGGUUCCAAAUUGUAUUCCAUCAAACCAAAAUGCACUACCCUUAAAUGCUUGGAACUAUCAAUAUGUGGUUCAUGAUAAGUUUUCCUCAAUAUUAGUGUCACUUGCAAAUGUUAUCAUCAUGUUUGAUUCCGUGAAAGUACUAAGAAAAAAAUAUUGAAAGAAAUUAUUUUCUUAUAUUUGAUUUUACUAUAAAAAUAUGAAAAAAAUCAAAUAUAAUUAAAAUUAAUCUAUUUUUAAAUAGAAAAUUUAAAACAAGUGAAAGGAGCCUGAUUAUGUUUGGUUCCCAAAAAGUUUUAGUGACAAUACAAGGGAAAAAAAAUAAAGAGUUUCUUUGAAGAAAAGAAAAAGUGAAAACAAUAAAAUAAAUAAAUAAAUUUGAAGUUAAUAAAUUAUUUUUAUAUGAUCAUUCACAUUCAUUUAAAAUUAAAAAAAAAGAUUUAAAUUUAAUAAAUUAAUUUUAUAUGUUUCUUCAUAUUUAUUUACUUAUUUUAAUUCUUCCAUACGAAGAUAUACUAAUUUGAAAAUAAAUAAAAUUCUAAUUAAUUUUAAUUCUCUUUUAUUUUCUUUCGUAUUUUCUACAUAAAACCAACAAUAAGAAAAUUAUUUUCCUUUAAUAUUUUCUUUUCUUUCUUUAAUACUCUUCUCAACCUAACAUAGUUUUUAUGUUCAUAAUAAUAAUAAUAUUUUAGAUAUUUUUUCAUUUUAUUUUAGGUAAGUGCAAGGAGCUUCAACAGUUGAAUUUAUUCAACAAUAAUCUGGUUGGAAGCAUUCCAGAAGCCAUUUGUAAUUUAUCAAAACUUGAAGAGCUGUAUCUUGGCAACAAUAAGUUGGCUGGUGAAAUUCCAAAGAAGAUGAGUGAUCUUCUUAAUCUGAAGAUAUUGUCAUUCCCAAUGAACAACUUAACAGGUUCCAUACCAGCCACUAUUUUCAACAUAUCUUCUUUGCUCAAUAUUAGUCUCUCCUAUAAUAGUCUCUCUGGGAAUCUUCCCAUGGUUAUGUGCAAUACCAAUCCAAAGCUCAAGGAGCUUAAUCUUUCAUCAAAUCACCUGAGUGGAGAGAUCCCCACCAGUUUAAGCCAAUGUAUAAAGCUUCAAGUAAUUUCCUUAUCAUAUAAUGAAUUCACGGGAAGCAUACCAAAAGGAAUUGGUAACUUGGUGGAGCUUCAGAGAUUGUCUUUCAGGAAUAAUAACUUGAUAGGUACACUUUUUUUUCCUUUCUUUUCUUCCUUUUUAUUCGCUCACUUUCUCUCAAGCUUUCAAAGAUGUAAGCAAUGCAUUGAAGUUUUUCCAACCCACUCAUUUUAAUUUUCUUGCAGGAGAAAUACCUCAAUCACUGUUCAACAUAUCUUCAUUGAGGUUUUUGAAUCUGGCAGCCAAUCAACUCGAAGGUGAAAUCCCCUCCAACUUGUCGCAUUGUCGAGAGCUCCGAGUACUAUCAUUAUCAUUAAAUCAGUUUACUGGAGGCAUUCCACAAGCCAUAGGGAGUUUAUCGAAUCUUGAAGAAUUAUAUCUUGGUUAUAACAAUUUGGGAGGUGGAAUUCCUAGCGAGAUUGGGAAUCUUCAUAAUUUAAAUAUUUUGAACUUCGAGUCUGCUAGACUAAGUGGUCCUAUUCCUGCCCAAAUUUUCAACAUCUCUUCGUUGCAAGUUAUUGCUUUUAGUAAUAAUAGCCUUUCUGGGAGUCUUCCAAUAGAUAUCUGCAAACAUCUUCCUAAUCUCCAAAGGCUCCACCUUUCUUGGAAUCAGCUCAGUGGCCAACUUCCUACAACCCUGUCCUUAUGUGGAGAGCUUCUGUCACUGUCACUAUAUUACAACAAAUACGCAGGAAGCAUAAUAAGAGAAAUUGGCAACUUAUCCAAGCUUGAACAGAUUUAUCUUGGGAGGAAUAACUUCACAAGUACCAUUCCACCUUCAUUUGGUAAUUUAACUGCCAUACAGGAGCUUGGAUUGGAGGAAAACAAUUUUCAAGGUAAUAUCCCCAAGGAGUUGGGGAAACUCAUCAACUUACAAAUAUUGCAUCUUGGCCAAAACAAUCUAACGGGGAUUGUACCAGAAGCUAUUAUCAACAUCUCUAAGCUGCAGGUCCUUUCGCUAUCACUAAAUCACCUCUCAGGCAGUCUCCCAUCAAGUAUUGGCACUUGGCUUCCAAAUCUUGAAGGACUUUAUAUAGGAGCCAAUGAAUUCAGUGGAAAAAUUCCGAUGUCCAUUUCCAAUAUGUCGAAACUUCUCUUCAUGGACAUAAGCAACAACUACUUCAUUGGGAAUUUGCCAAAAGACCUAGGUAACAUGAGACGACUCCAGAUCCUCAACCUUUCAUACAACCAGUUGACUAAUGAACAAUCAGACUCUGAGCUUGCCUUUUUUACAUCAUUGACGAAUUGCAUUUCUUUGAGAAAAUUGCGGAUCGGUGGUAAUCCUUUAAAAGGCAUUAUUCCAAAUUCAUUGGGGAAUCUCUCCAUUUCUAUUGAAAGGAUUGGAGCGAGAAGCUGCCAACUCAGAGGCACCAUCCCUACAGGGGUUAGUAAUCUAACCAACUUGAUUGGUUUAGGACUUGAUGAUAAUGACUUGACAGGGUUGAUUCCAACAUCAUUUGGACGCCUACAGAAGCUCCAGGCGUUGGGUAUUUCUCAAAAUCGAAUACGCGGAUCCAUUCCUAGUGAUCUAUGCCAUUUGACAAACUUGGGAUUCUUGGAUUUGAGUUCGAAUAAACUUUCCGGAACAAUCCCUAGCUGCUUUGGGAAUCUUACUUCACUACGAAGAAUCAAUCUUCACUCCAAUGGACUAGCUUCUGAGAUACCUUCAUCUCUGUGGAUCCUUAGAUAUCUCUUGUUUCUUAACUUGUCUUCAAACUUCCUCAACGGCGAACUACCCUUAGAAGUUGGAAACAUGAAGUCCUUAGAGGAAUUGGACCUAUCAAAGAACCAAUUUUCAGGAAACAUCCCCAGCACUAUAUCACUUCUUCAAAACCUGCUCCAACUUUACCUAUCCCAUAACAAGCUACAAGGUCAUAUUCCCCCCAAUUUUGAUGAUUUGGUGAGCUUGGAAUACUUGGAUCUGUCAGGGAACAAUUUAUCUGGUUUUAUUCCCAAGUCAUUAGAGGCUCUGAAAUAUCUCAAAUACCUGAAUGUUUCUUUCAAUAAACUACAAGGAGAGAUUCCAAACGGAGGACCCUUUGCAAACUUCACUGCUGAAUCUUUCAUCUCCAACCUAGCACUUUGUGGAGCACCUCGGUUUCAAGUCAUGGCAUGUGAGAAAGAUACUAGAAGGAACACAAAAUCACUCCUCUUGAAAUGUAUUGUGCCACUAAGUGUAUCAUUAUCAACAAUAAUACUAGUGGUUCUCUUUGUUUUAUGGAAGCGAAGACAGACUAAGUCAGAAACUCCGGUUCAAGUUGACUUGUUGCUUCCCAGAAUGCAUAGAAUGAUUCUACACCAAGAACUCCUUUAUGCAACCAGCUACUUCGGAGAAGACAAUUUGAUUGGGAAAGGAAGCUUAGGCACGGUAUAUAAAGGGGUAUUAUCCGAUGGGUUGAUUGUUGCUGUGAAGGUUUUCAAUUUGGAAUUGCAGGGAGCUUUCAAGAGUUUUGAGGUAGAAUGUGAAGUAAUGCAGAAUAUUCGCCAUCGAAAUCUUGCCAAGAUAAUUAGUAGUUGCUCCAAUUUGGACUUCAAAGCCUUGGUGCUUGAGUAUAUGCCUAAUGGGAGCUUAGAGAAGUGGUUGUACUCUCACAACUACUACUUGGAUUUUGUCCAACGAUUAAAAAUUAUGAUAGAUGUGGCAUCAGGGUUAGAGUAUCUCCAUCAUGAUUAUUCAAGUCCUGUGGUUCACUGUGACUUGAAGCCCAACAAUGUCUUAUUAGAUGAUGACAUGGUUGCACACAUAAGUGAUUUCGGCAUUGCAAAACUGUUGAUGGGAAGCGAGUUUAUGAAGCGAACCAAAACCUUGGGCACCAUAGGCUAUAUGGCACCAGGUAAAGUUUCCUACCACUUCAACACAUUCUUAUGUCAUUUUUUUCUCUCUCUCAACUAGUUGGUUUUCCAUUUGACCAAGAAGCACUAUUUGGCAUCAAAGUUUUACAUAAUGAACAACUAAUAUUACAUGCAGGGUGUAAGUUAGAGGAUAAGUUAUUGUAAGUAUUCUAGGUUUUUUAAAUUGUUUUCAAUCCUUUGAAAAAUGGAGAGGUGUCAUUGGCUCUUUACAAACGUCUUACAUGAUCAUUUUUGACCUCUUGAUAAUUAAUAUUUUUUAACUAGAAGAUUGUUUUUUAUUAAUUAUUUAUCUUUCUCUAUAUUACUAUUUCUUUGUUCAUUUUACUAAUGGAAACUAAUAUGCAAGCAUGCAGAGUAUGGCUCAGAGGGAAUAGUAUCUACAAAAUGUGAUAUAUAUAGUUUUGGGAUCAUGCUCAUGGAAACUUUUGUGAGGAAGAAGCCUACAGAUGAAAUGUUUAUGGAGGAACUAACCUUGAAGAGUUGGGUGGAGUCAUCAACCAACAACAUAAUGGAGGUUAUAGAUGCCAAUCUCCUGACAGAAGAAGAUGAAAGUUUUGCCUUAAAACAAGCUUGUUUUUCUUCCAUCAUGACAUUAGCUCUGAAUUGUACA